UUAGGGAGCAUUAACAAAUCUGAGCUCUUAGAUCUAUAAAAUAAACGGUCCAAAUUAAUUCUGGGAUAUUGUAAAAGAGCUCUUGCCUUUUGGGAGACACCUACUCUACUCUCUGUUUCAUAUAUAGUAGCCUAGCUUGAACAAUUUUCAGGCAAAAGAGAUGCACCUGAGCCUAGUUCAUCCACAGCACAGCACAAACCUCAGCAAGAAACAAAAUUCCCAACGAUUCACAGAUCAACAUCGAUACAAAAUUAAAAAAGAAAAAAGCAGCUAAUCAGAACAGAGUCAGCCGUCAGAUAUCCGCAGAAAAGGACAUAUACAUGCCUGCGUUUCCAUCCACAAAAAUUACCAAAUGUCUGGACAAAAGAUUUACCAAACCAUUAACAAAAUAUUACCAGAUCAAUGAACAUCAUUGACAACUGGCACCAGCCUCAGCAAUCAGCGUCACUGGGCAAAGAGAGAAACCUUUUAAGAAAACCAUGAGAUGCUAGCUAAUAGUAAAGCACAGCAGCUUCAAUGCCAUCUGGAUGCUAGUGUUAGAAGAAGAGUGUAAAAUAAAUUCCUUUUUGCAAGUCAGAUAUAUUCCUCGUUGCAACAGGCACAAAGUAGGGGGUUACUGCAUAAGAACAAUCAUGUUGCAUUACAUGCACGCACAGAUCAAUAAAGAGCGAAGGAGGAGUUCAAUGUCCUUGCUGUAAUAAUACUCCAUUG
rnacentral:lncRNA from 1 species